UCAAUCCUUACAAUCCAAAUCUAAUGCGAAUAAAACCACGUGAAUGUCGAUUAAAUGACGAUGACAUUCCCGAUUCAAUAAAGAAUUACAAGCCAAAAAGGAAAAUCCGCGUGUCAUCUUUACAGCAUUCAAAAAGCUGUGAACAGACUAAAAUCAAUGAUGCAAAAGUAGAGAACUCAAAAGACAAACCUAAAAGCGAAUUGCCAACCGACGAUUGCACAUCCUCCCGCAAAU